CCAGCUGCUACGCCACCUGGUGGAUGGCUCGGCUCGGGCGCCGAAGAAGGCCGUGCCAAGCUGCGAUAUGCCCCGGGAAGGCGCAAGGAGCCCUUGAACCGGGGAUCGCCGAAUGGGACUUCCUGCCGUGGGUGAACUCACGGCGCUCCCAUAAGAUCCUUAUGGAUCUGAGGGAGUGGGAACCCGGGGAAUUGAAACAUCUUAGUACCCGGAGGAAAAGAAAGCAAUGGCGAUGCCCUCAGUAAAGGCGAUCGAAGAGGGCACAGGGCAAACCGAACCCCAUGGCGAUGAGCCAUGGGGGAUGUGGAGUUGGGAUCCGGUUACUCCCUAGCUGGCUAACCCGAAGUCCCCUGGAAUGGGGCGCCGUAGAGGGUGAUAGCCCCGUAGGGGUAAGCCAGAAGGGAGAUUGCCGGGUAUCCAGAGUACCGUGCGUUGGAUAUCGCGCGGGAAGGUGGGAGGUACAAACUCCCAACCCUAAAUACGUCCCGAGACCGAUAGCGCAAUAGUACCGUGAGGGAAAGCUGAAAAGUACCCCUAGCGGGAGGUGAAAAGAGCCUGAAACCAGGUGGUUACAGGCUGACAGGGCGUGGAAGAGCUCUCGCUCAACGUCCUGUCGUGCGUUUCGAAAAACGCGCCGGGGAGUUCUCGGCAAUGGCGAGGCUAAGGGCGAAAGCCCGGAGCCGUAGCGAAAGCGACGUGCCCACAGCCAGGCUCUGCCUGGUGAGGGGCGGGGUGCGAUCGCCCGGAGUCAUUGCCGAGAGACCAGAAGCCGGUCGAUCUACGCCCAGCCAGGUUGAAGCCCCUCGAAAGAGGGGUGGAGGACCGAACCGGUGCUGACGCGCAAAUCGCUCGGAUGAGCUGGGUGUAGGGGCAAAAGACCAAUCGAGGCCGGCGAUAGCUGGUUCCCCCCGAGACUGCCCGCAGGCAGAUCCCCGGGGAGAUGGGCCGUGCGGUAGAGCACUGAUUGGGUGGUUAGGGGGCGAAAGCCCUCGCCAUCCUGUCAAACUCCGAACGUGCGGUCAUCGUAGAACCGGGGAGUGAGGGCACCUGGGGUAAGCUUGGUGUUCGAAAGGGGAACAACCCAGCCCCGCGUUAAGGCCCCCAAGUGCCGGCUAAGUGUCAAAGAACAAAGGGUGUGCGCAGCCUAAGACAGCGGGGAGGUUGGCUUAGAGGCAGCCAUCCUUUAAAGAGUGCGUAACAGCUCACCCGCCGAGGCUGCGUGCCCCGAAAAUGGACGGGGCUAAGCCGGCCGCCGAUACGCGGGCGCUCCGAAAGGAGAUCGGGUAGGGGGGGCGCCGUGCGUGGGUAGAAGCUGGGGCGUGAGCUCCAGUGGACCGCGUACGGACGAGGAUCCCGGUGAAAGUAGCAGUGAAGUCGGGUGAGAAUCCCGACCACCGGAGGGGCUAAGGGUUCCACGGCGAUGUUCGUCAGCCGUGGGUUAGCCGGUCCUAAGGCAUGCCCCAACUGGAGCAUGCCGAAAGGGAAGCCGGUUAAUAUUCCGGCGCCACCCCAAGGCGCUAACCCCAUGCAUGACGCAUCUGGAUAGGCCGAGUGGUCGCGCCAGGCCAUUCAAGCGCUGAAGCCCCUGGAGUGCCGUAAUGGCGAGAAGGGGGUGAAGGCGUGAUGGGGUUUCCCGUUUUAGGGAGACUUCGGCUGAUUCCGGGUGCCGGUGAAAAGUGCAUGGAGGUUGCCUUGGGGUGACCGUACCGAGAACUGACACAGGUGCCCCUGGGUGAGAAGCCCAAGGUGUGUCGGGUUUAAUCCGGGCAAGGGAACUCGGCAAAUUGGCCCCGUAACCUCGGGAGAAGGGGUACCUGCCUCGCGAAGAGGCAGGUCGCAGUGACCAGGGGGCUCCGACUGUUUAAUAAAAACACAGGUGACCGCAAGUCCGAAAGGAUGAGUAUGGUCACCGAAUCCUGCCCAGUGGCGGUACCUGAAAGCCGGGUACAACCGGAAGAAGGGCCGCUAAACGGCGGGGGUAACUCUGACCCUCUUAAGGUAGCGUAAUACCUAGCCGCUUAAUUGGCGGCUUGCAUGAAUGGACCAACGAGAGCCCCACUGUCCCUGCCCGGAGCCCGGUGAAAUCGGCAUUACUGGCGCACAGCCCAGUACCGCCCGGAAGGAAGCAAAGACCCCGUGGAGCUUUACUGCAGCCUGUCGUUGUGGUACGGUGUGGGAUGUGAAGUGUAGGCGGGAGCCGUCGAAGCUGGGGCGCUAGCUCCAGUGGAGGCGCCAAUGGGACACCGCCCUUCCUAUGCCGCACCACUAACCCGAAAGGGGACAGCGAUAGGUGGGCAGUUUGGGUGGGGCGCCACGCCCUCGAAAAGAUAUCAAGGGCGCCCAAAGGUCGGCUCAGGGGGGUCAGAAAUCCCCCGUAGAGUGCAAGGGCAAAAGUCGGCUUAACUCGGAUCUCGACAAUAAGGAUCCGAGGUGGGAAACCAGGGCCUAGCGAACCAACCGUUCCCAUUUGUAGGGGCGGUUGAUAACAGAAAAGUUACCCCGGGGAUAAUUGAGUUGUCUCCGGCGAGAGCCCACAUCGACCCGGAGGCUUGCUACUUCGAUGUCGUCUCUCCCUAUCCUGGCGGUGCAGCAGCUGCCAAGGGUGGGGCUGUUCGCCCAU
rnacentral:rRNA from 1 species